rnacentral:rRNA from 1 species
GUACGAAGGGGAGGCUAGCGUUGCUCGGAAUUACUGGGCGUAAAGGGCGCGUAGGCGGCGCUGCAAGUCAGGCGUGAAAUUCCUGGGCUUAACCUGGGGCUGCGCUUGAGACUGUGGUGCUAGAGGACGGAAGAGGGUCGUGGAAUUCCCAGUGUAGAGGUGAAAUUCGUAGAUAUUCGGAGGAACAUCAGUGGCGAAGGCGGCUCACUGGUCCAUUACUGACGCUGAGGUGCGAAAGCGUGGGGAGCGAACGGG